GUGCUUGCUUUGGUAGCACAUAUACUAAAAUUGGAACAAUACAGAGAAGAUAAACAUGGUCCCUAUACAAGGAUGACAUACAUUGUUAAGCAUUCCAUAUUUAA